rnacentral:lncRNA from 1 species
AGAAGACCUUAAUUAAUCACAGCGCCCUCGUUAGAGCCCACUGUGAUCCCGGCGCUCGUUAGUCCCGCGGGUGAUUAAUUGAAAUUAAUUGAAAAGCCGGUGACAUUUACCAGCGUGCUUGAGCGGAAGUAUCGAGAGAUAAUCUCGCAGUCGUGAUUUUGGAGGUAAAUCUGCGGCUGUGGGUCUGAUUGAGGUCACCGUCAGCGGCUUCAAACUCACUGAACAGAAACACUUACUGCUCCGAGUACCGUGGUAAUGCUGUUUUACUAGAUAGACUGACUGCUGAUGGAAAAGCUCAAAUGAGUUCUGCUAGAAGUCAUGAUGUGAGCUGCUGUCAGACUACUGAAAAAUAAAGAGACUCUGAUGAUGAUCCUUCAGCUUCCUGUCGCCGUGGUAGCAACAGUCCUCUUUGCAUACGAUCGGUCUGUUGCCAUGGCAGCCGUGAUGAGCCGGGAGGAACCGUGGCGACCCCAGCGAGAGACCGUCUGUAUCUGUUACCAUGGAGCCCAGCAACAAAGUACAAGUCAAGCAUCACGGUUACUGUUGCUACAGUGAUUUGGAACGAACCUCAGACAUUAAAUACUACACAGUUUGUAUCAUUUGUGUUAUUAUCAUGAACUAAAACUAUAAAAAUGUUUGUAAAUUAAAAUUAUUUUUAUCCUAAUUAACUAAAUAAAU